AAUGAACGCUGGCGGCAUGCCUAACACAUGCAAGUCGAGCGACAACACGAUGAGCUUUCUCCCCUGACGUUAGCGGCGGACGGGUGAGUAACACGUGGAUCACAUACCUCUUUUUCUGGGAUAACUACGUGAAACCACUGCCAAUACCGCAUCAUAUAUUCUACCGCAUGGUUCAGUAGUGAUUGACGCCUUGCCUGUCACAUAUAGCUGAUUCCGGACCGCCUUAGCUAGUUGGUAAGGUAACGGCUUACCAAGGCAACGAUGCGUAGCUGACCUGAGAGGGUGAUCGGCCACACUGGAACUGAGACACGGUCCAGACUCCUACGGGAGGCAGCAGUAGGGAAUCUUCCGCAAUGGGCGAAAGCCUGACCGAGCAACGCCGCGUGGGUGAUGAAGGUCUUCGGAUCGUAAAGCUCUGUUAUUGGGGAAGAAAAGAUGUGUGUGUAACUAUGCACGUCUUGACGGUACCUAAUCAGUAAGCCACGGCUAACUACGUG
rnacentral:rRNA from 1 species